GUGGGGAAUUUUGGACAAUGGGCGCAAGCCUGAUCCAGCCAUGCCGCGUGCAGGAUGAAGGCCUUCGGGUUGUAAACUGCUUUUGUACGGAACGAAAAGACUCUGGUUAAUACCUGGGGUUCAUGACGGUACCGUAAGAAUAAGCACCUGCUAACUACGUGCCAGCAGCCGCGGUAAUACGUAGGGUGCGAGCGUUAAUCGGAAUUACUGGGCGUAAAGCGUGCGCAGGCGGUUAUAUAAGACAGAUGUGAAAUCCCCGGGCUCAACCUGGGAACUGCAUUUGUGACUGUAUGGCUAGAGUACGGCAGAGGGGGAUGGAAUUCCGCGUGUAGCAGUGAAAUGCGUAGAUAUGCGGAGGAACACCGAUGGCGAAGGCAAUCCCCUGGGCCUGUACUGACGCUCAUGCACGAAAGCGUGGGGAGCAAACAGGAUUAGAUACCCCAGUAGUCC
rnacentral:rRNA from 1 species